UCCAAAAGUACUGAUUCUUUUUCAAGUCCUGUAGUGUGUGGUCUACAUUCAUUCCUCCCCACUACUGUGAUAUAAGUCGUAGUGCUGCGAGCCAGCGCUCAGUUGUGUACUAGACGGCGAGGCGCACGGACGUUGGAGCAUCAGUAAUGCGGCUGUGAUGUACAGUUACGCGCGAGGAUGCGGCACGUAAUCUCGCUAGUAUACUACAAAUGGCGACGAGUAAUAAACUGUGGAGUAAGGUAGAAGGAAGCCUGCUUUUAACUGAUCCCGUGAGUUCGUGGUGAAGCAACAAUUCACUUGUGGUAUGGUUCACUUCAGCCCACUCAGCGCCCACUAUGUUGCCGCAUCCACAUUCGUCCCACGAUCGUCGAUCGAUUGCUGAACGUACCUAGCAGUGUGGGACCAGAGCAAGCAAACAGGCGGCUGAUGAGAAGUGGUCACCGCAGUCACCUGCAAGAGACGGGGUGCACAGCACUCUAAGAAUAGGGCUCUAAAAUAUUCAUGGCUUAGGUGGCGAAUAGCAUUCUCAAGGAUAAGUACCAACAGCAUUCCUUAAAUAAGUACAAUAUGAGAUGAGUUUACAUUUUUUUACAAUGUGGUGUGAAAAGAAAAACUUAAUCUUACAUGUUUCACCGUCCACGGGUAUGCAAAUUUAAAUGGAGAGCAUGCUAUCAUGCCACAAAACAAAAUCUAAUAAAUAAAAGUAACUAAAUUAACUAAAUUUUUAUCUAAAUCUAUCAUUAAAAGAAUCGUUCAAAUUAUAACAUUUAUCAGUCAGCAAGGACCUGAGGUGCUUUUUAAAUAAAUUUGAAUUCUGAUCUUUAAUUUGUUGUGGAAUUUUGUUAUAAAUUUUAGGUGCAAUACAUACAAUACUUUUACUGAGUAAUUCCGUUUUAGAAAGGUGUAAACAUAGUCUAUAAUUAUCCCGAUGAUUUCUUAACACAACAUCACAAAGGCGUGGGAAUAAAUGAGCAUUACAUUUAACAAACAUUUCAACCUCAAGUAUGUAAAGUUGUAACUGAAUUCUGAAUUAAAUUUAUACUUUCUUCUUUGAAGUUAGUUCAAACAUACCUGCACUUAUUGCAAACCGUAACAAACAACCGUCUAUUUGUUUUUUAAUACAAAUCCAAAUGUAUACGUAGGUGUAUAUAUCUAUUACCUAAGUAUAUGAAUUUAUUACGCUUCUUAUUUUAAUUCGAUUUCAAAGCUAACAAAACCUUUUAUUGUGGCUCACAUUUCUUAUUUACGAGAAAAAUGCCAAUAUUAUGUUUCAUAUCCCCUUAAUUUUGCGCCGAAUUUUUUGUGGACUUCCAUUGUUUAUUAAUCUAUAAGAAUUUGAGACCAUUUUGGAAAUGGAAAAAUCUUUCUUAAAAAAUUUAUUACAAUUGCUCAUAUUCUGUUCUUAAAUGAGACAAAAUAUUUAAAAUAAUUCACCAAAUCAAUUCGACUGUAACGUAUAUAUGGCCAGCAUAGGCAUAACACAAUAUGGAGUUCGCCGAAUUUAGCCUAAGUGAAUUCAUAAAAUGUUACAUUGCAUGUGGAUUUUAUAUUAUAAUAAUAUUAAAUAAUGAUAUACCUUUUAAAAGUCCUCCUUAUUCAUAUUAUUAUUAAAUUCUAUGCGUUAUUUCUUUUG